GACAGAGGGUGCAAACGUUGUUCGGAAUUACUGGGCGUAAAGCGUGUGUAGGCGGCCACGUAAGUCGGAUGUGAAAGCCCCAGGCUCAACCUGGGAAGUGCACUCGAUACUGCGUGGCUUGAGUAUCGGAGAGGUUGGUGGAAUUCCCGGUGUAGAGGUGAAAUUCGUAGAUAUCGGGAGGAACACCAGUGGCGAAGGCGGAGACCUGGGCCGAUACUGACGCUGAGGUGGCGAAAGCGUGGGGAGCAAACAGG
rnacentral:rRNA from 1 species